UGAUCACAGGAUUUAUUCUCCGGAGGAAAACAAGGGUGCAUUGCUCCUGAUUAACAUUGUUAUUCUGAGAGUUCAUGCAUGGACUGAUGUUUAAAUGCACGUUUUUUUUUCCAGAGAUAUAGAGUUUCAAGAACAAGAACAGAUGUUAUCGGAACCAACUUUAAGCUCCCCCUAGCUUUUAUUGGUCAAUUUUUUAAGUUAUUCCCUAAGAAGACCCACAUAUUGGACCAGAAAAAGAACACAUUUUCAAGUCAGUCUACAACUUAAAAAAAACUGUUUGUCAUAACACAUCUGCUGCGACACAGGACGCGGAGAGCUGUCAUACAGAAGAGAGGUGGGAGGUCUUUAAAAAGGGCCGUCUGUCAGCUGAAACAGUUAGUCUGCUUUUGAACUCACUCUGUGCAGUAGGAGCACGUCAGGCAAUGCAUUGAACAGCUCCACAUGACGAAGUGGCAUUUUUCCUGAACGGCAAAUUCCUUUCCUUGGAGUGGAACUGACUAUAUGACAAGGAUCUCUUUGCUUCAAUGUAUGUGACAGAGGAGUCUGGUGUUUUCCAUUGUCAAACACGUACCAGAUGACCAUCCUUGUGUCAAACCUGAUUCAGAGCAAAGCUAAGUUGCAGGUAAAGUGUCUGUGUGUGCUUAUGUUCCUGAGCUUCCCUCUGACUAUGGCUGAGGUCCCUGGUCCAUGCAGACACUCCAUCACUAGGGAGCACCUGCUGACAGUCAGGCAUCUGAUGGAUAACCAGUUAAGAAGCGGGUGCACCAUCACCUACACAUUCACAGAACGGAGGAGUUUGAGCAAAUGUUGCUUUGUUAAAGCUGCUUUACCGUGGAUCCUGGAGCUCCUAACCACCCACUUCAAAUAUAAUCGAGGAUCAGUCAAUGACGGCUACGUUCAGUCCCUGAGGGCCCUCAUCCUCAACAUUUACUCUCAGAAAUGUGUCCCUCAGAUUAAUGAGGAGGUUGAGGAUAAGCCAGAAAGUUUUGAGAUGCUGUAUAGAGGGUCUCCGUCCGAGGCACUGCAGAGGGCGUCAGAGGUGUUGUCUGCCUACUGGGAACUAGUGACGACCAGUGAUGCACCAGUCGAUUGGCACUGCCAGCAAGAAUACACAGAAACCUUUGGUUCAACGACAGAGCUGUUUACAGAGUCACCAACAGAACAUUUUACCGUUAUGGUAUCAACGCAGAGAAGGCCUCACACAGGAGAUCAGACAGAGACCUGUACAAGCUUGGCUUCAUCAUUGCCUCCAUCUGCGGAGGACUGCUCUUCAUCCUCACACUCUACUGUCUCAUCACACAAAAGUAAAGGAGGCCUUUACUGUUUGGCUGUGUUCUCUGGGGAACUCCCUUUUGCAGAAAGACCAGCCCUCCCAUAGCUGAAAACUCUCAACCCACAUAGAUCAAUAUCAUACACAAACUCAAGCAGAGACCUCCAGGACAUAGAGAUGGAGCCACAAUAACGUAGUAAAGACCACAUCGCUGCAGCAGCAGACGGAGCACAUGUGAAGCUGUACAUUUUACCCAUCAUGAUCAAGUUUCCAUAUCAGUACCGUGUGUGCAACUUAUCAGGCUCUCCUAUUUAAUCAGAAGCUUGACUUUGACUGAGAACAGAGAUGGACCUUAUUUUGAAAACCAUGCUAUGUAUAUAAUGUUUAUGCGUUAUGUAUUACAGAUUUCUUCUCAAGUCCACUAAAAAAAGUUUUAUUUUUACACUAGUUAUGUAUGUUUGAUAAUGUGUCUCCAUUUGCUACCACUUAACCAAAUGUUCAUAAUGAUGUUUGCAAAAUACUACAAUUAUUUAUUAGUUUGACUUUAUUCAAUCACUGUACUGAUAAUAAAAAAUCAAUUUAUACUGAAUCCAAAACGAAAUCCUGUCUGGCAAGUAGUGAAUCACUAGGAAACCACAUCUGAAGAAAGGUAAUGGCCUCUUUAAAGGAUUCAAGCUGAAUUUUACUUUAAUUUUCACUUUAAUGAGAAUCCAUAAAAAGCUUUUAUCCUCUUUUGUUUUUAUUGCUUUUAUGUUCGUAUCACUAUCAGUCAAAUACGCUCAUCAAUGUUCUUUUGUCAUUUUUAAUGUAGCAAUGACCAAACCUUUUUUAUUGCAAAACAGUAUGAAUAGUUCAACUUGCACCCUGGAGUAUAACUAUGGUCGGUCACCCACACUGAGCUGCUGUUAUUGGCUGAGCAAGAUAAUAAAACGGAUAGACUCACAGCAGUUGCUGCUGCAGCUUCACAAGAAAUGUCCCCACUGAGCAGGGUGUGACAGGAUCUGAUAAGAUUAGAUAGUUGUUAAGGAAAUUUUUCUUGGCUGCAUCCAGUUUUUUCUGUUAAGAAACACACAAAAUCACAUGGUGGGAAGAGUUGGGUGGUUUUGGCAAAAAGGAUAAUACUGAGAGAAGAGGGGGAUGGGGGGGCAGUGAGAGGCUGUGAUGACUUUCACUCAUGUUCACUCAGUGAUGGUCCAGCCUUAUGUUUUAUAAUAAAA